rnacentral:rRNA from 1 species
GAUGAACGCUGGCGGCGUGCCUAAUACAUGCAAGUAGAACGCUGAAGGAAGGAGCUUGCUCUUUCCGGAUGAGUUGCGAACGGGUGAGUAACGCGUAGGUAACCUGCCUGGUAGCGGGGGAUAACUAUUGGAAACGAUAGCUAAUACCGCAUAACAGUAGAUGUUGCAUGAUAUCUACUUAAAAGGUGCAAUUGCACCACUACCAGAUGGACCUGCGUUGUAUUAGCUAGUUGGUGAGGUAACGGCUCACCAAGGCGACGAUACAUAGCCGACCUGAGAGGGUGAUCGGCCACACUGGGACUGAGACACGGCCCAGACUCCUACGGGAGGCAGCAGUAGGGAAUCUUCGGCAAUGGACGGAAGUCUGACCGAGCAACGCCGCGUGAGUGAAGAAGGUUUUCGGAUCGUAAAGCUCUGUUGUAAGAGAAGAACGUGUGUGAGAGUGGAAAGUUCACACUGUGACGGUAUCUUACCAGAAAGGGACGGCUAACUACGUG